rnacentral:rRNA from 1 species
AUACGUAGGGGGCGAGCGUUGUCCGGAAUGAUUGGGCGUAAAGGGCGCGUAGGCGGCCCGGUAAGUCUGGAGUGAAAGUCCUGUUUUUGAGAUGGGAAUUGCUUUGGAUACUGUCGGGCUUGAGUGCAGGAGAGGUAAGUGGAAUUCCCAGUGUAGCGGUGAAAUGCGUAGAGAUUGGGAGGAACACCAGUGGCGAAGGCGACUUACUGGACUGUAACUGACGCUGAGGCGCGAAAGUGUGGGGAGCAAACAGGAUUAGAUACCCUGGUAGUCCACACUGUAAACGAUGAAUGCUAGGUGUAGGGGGUAUCGACCCCUUCUGUGCCGCAGUCAACACAAUAAGCAUUCCGCCUGGGGAGUACGGCCGCAAGGUUGAAACUUAAAGGAAUUGACGGGG